GCAAGAUGCUGUGAUGUGUCCUAAAACAACUGCCUCUGCUCCGCAGCAGAGCUCUCGGGAGGUGGGAGGGAUCUGCAGCUGCUCCCUUGGAGAGAGCCAUUCUGGAAAUCAAUCUGCAUGAGACUUGUCCAGGUGCAGUCCCAGGGCAGUGUGAGCCCCAGGGAGGGGCCCUGGGCUGGAAGCAGCUGGGUGCUGCCUACGUCAGCAUCUUCCGGAAUGCCGUCCUGAUGGCAUCCAUUAAUAAGAGACAGGCUGCCGUUGGAGGGAGGCAUUGCUGGCAGCUCUGAGGAGUUGGAAAGCAGCCUUUAGACAACGCAGGAGCUGGACUCCAGGGAGGUGACGGAGGCUCUGUACUCCGUGGAUCAUUGCAUCGGGGAACCUCAUCACGCCGGCAGAGAGCAGAGGUCAGCAAGGGUUGCUUAGGAAGACCAAGGACUAGGAAGUGUUUGGAACCGUUCCCAGACGCUGACCCACCCCCGAGCACGGAUGCCAGCACAUAUCUGGACCAUCGUGUAAGUCAGGAGGAAGACACAACUCAGUCAACAAAUAUUUGGUGUACCUCCUCGGAAGUGAGCUGUUGCACAAGCCGUGGUUUGGCAGGGAUUCUCCUGUUCGGCUGCGAGCCGCUCAGGGCAGGAUGCCUUUCAGGAGGAGGAGGGGCAGGUGGAAUCGUCUUCCUACUCCUGUGUGAUCCUCUGUGGGAUGUCCCCUGCUCUGGGCUGCCAGCCGCUAGGCCAGUACUGAGCAGUGAGGAAAUCCUGCCACCACAGUAGCUCAUUCAGUAGGGUUACGGUCGGUGGGCAGGGCCUGAGCCUCUCUCCAGAAUCCAGGCAGCAUGUCACAACACAUAGUAGCCCCCUGUGACUGCCAUGGCCAGUUUGGAGCAACAUAUCACAAUGUAGUUUUGCCUAUUUGGUACAUUUUUCCCUUUAAAAAAAAAAAAAAAAAAAAGAAUCACAAGAUUUUAGAACUGGAUGCAGUGCCUUGAGACAGCGUCUCCCAGAAUCUGUCUUUGUUUUUUUGUUUGCUUUUGUUUUACGGGACAGGGUUUCACUGUGUAGCCCUGGCUGUCCUGAAAUGCACUCUGCAGACCAGGCUGGCCUUGAACUCACCUGCCUCUGCCUCCCGAGUGCUGGGAUUAAAGGUGUGCACCACCACUGCCUGGCUUAUCUCUGCUUUUCAGUGCAGUCAUGACCAGUUUUCUUUGUGAAUGCUGAGGAUUCAAACCCAAGUCCUCAUGCUUUCUCUUACCCAUGGGACCAUCUUCUUAGUCUCUUAUUGGAUUUUGAGACAAGGUCUCAUGGAUGGCCUGGAACUCACUAUAAUAUCAGAAGAUGACCUUGAACCUCUGAUG